UGAGAUAAUACAAGUGUAAUACGCAUUUUACAGAUUAGUACACAGAGGCGUCACUGCUAAGAGAUGAACAUUGGACCAAAGUUCUCACCAGUGAAAUGUACCUCUGCAGUGCUUCAAUUCAGCAGGGAAAAAUAGAAGAACUUUUUUUAGGAAGUCAUACCUGGCGAAUAUGGCACGGUUUGGCAUAGACACUGAGUCUGAGGAGCAGCUAUGACAAAAUUGCCAAGGAUAGGAUCUUAUGUUCAUGGUUUAUAAUACCUGUGCUAGAAUCAAGCCCCUGAAUAGAAGUAGAAGUAUCGAAUAGAAGAAAAGAAGCCUUGCUUAAAAGCCAGCAGGACCUGUGUUUAAAAUCUUACUGUCUUUCUUACUUACUACUUGACAUUUGGCAAAUCAACGAACUGCUCAGAAUUUUAGUUUCCUCAUCUACAAACAUCUUCCUUAAAAGGACUGUGGUUCUUAUUAAAUGUGAAUACCUUUCUAUGUAGUCUGGCACAUAGCAGUCAUAAAAUAAAAGCUAGUUGUCUGUC